AAACUUUCAACAACGGAUCUCUUGGUUCCGGCAUCGAUGAAGAACGCAGCGAAACGCGAUAGUUAAUGUGAAUUGCAGAAUUCAGUGAAUCAUCGAGUCUUUGAACGCACAUUGCGCCCCCUGGUAUUCCGGGGGGCAUGCCUGUCCGAGCGUCAU
rnacentral:rRNA from 1 species